CCUACGGGAGGCAGCAGUAGGGAAUCUUUCACAAUGGGCGAAAGCCUGAUGGAGCAACGCCGCGUGCAGGAUGAAGGCCUUCGGGUUGUACACUGCUUUUAUAAGCGAGAAAUAUGAGGGUAACUUAUGAAUAAGGAUCGGCUAACUACGUGCCAGCAGCCGCGGUCAUACGUAGGAUCCGAGCAUUAUCCGGAGUGACUGGGUGUAAAGAGUUGCGUAGGUGGCAUAAUAAGUAGCUAGUGAAAUCUGGUGGCUCAACCAUGCAGAAUAUUAGCUAAACUGGUAAGCUCGAGACCGUUAGGGGUAACUGGAAUUUCUAGUGUAGGAGUGAAAUCCGUAGAUAUUAGAAGGAACACCAAUAGCGUAGGCAGGUUGCUGGGACGGUUCUGACACUAAGGCACGAAAGCGUAGGGAGCAAACGGGAUUAGAUACCCGAGUAGUC
rnacentral:rRNA from 1 species